rnacentral:rRNA from 1 species
UACGUAGGGCGCAAGCGUUGUCCGGAAUUAUUGGGCGUAAAGAGCUCGUAGGCGGUUUGUCGCGUCUGCUGUGAAAACGCGAGGCUUAACCUCGCGCCUGCAGUGGGUACGGGCAGACUAGAGUUGGCGAGGGGAGACUGGAAUUCCUGGUGUAGCGGUGGAAAUGCGCAGAUAUCAGGAGGAACACCGGUGGCGAAGGCGGGUCUCUGGGCCGUA